UAGGGAAUCUUCGGCAAUGGACGAAAGUCUGACCGAGCAACGCCGCGUGAGUGAAGAAGGUUUUCGGAUCGUAAAACUCUGUUGUUAGAGAAGAACAAGGACGUUAGUAACUGAACGUCCCCCUACGGUAUCUAACCAGAAAGCCACGGCUAACUACGUGCCAGUAGCCGCGGUAAUACGUAGGUGGCAAGCGUUGUCCGGAUUUAUUGGGCGUAAAGCGAGCGCAGGCGGUUUCUUAAGUCUGAUGUGAAAGCCCCCGGCUCAAGCGAGGAGGGUCAUUGGAAACUGGGAGACUUGAGUGCAGAAGAGGAGAGUGGAAUUCCAUGUGUAGCGGAGAAAUGCGUAGCUAUAUGGAGGAACACCAGUGGCGAAGGCGGCUCUCUGGUCUGUAACGGACGCUGAGGCUCGAAGGCGUGGGGAGCAAACAGG
rnacentral:rRNA from 1 species